rnacentral:misc_RNA from 1 species
GAUGAAGAACGUAGCGAAAUGCGAUACGUAAUGUGAAUUGCAAAUUCAGUGAAUCAUCGAGUCUUUGAACGCACAUUGCGCCCCCUGGUAUUCCGGGGGGCAUGCCUGUCCGAGCGUCAUUGCUGCCCUCAAGCACGGCUUGUGUGUUGGGCCCCGUCCUCCGAUCCCGGGGGACGGGCCCGAAAGGCAGCGGCGGCACCGCGUCCGGUCCUCGAGCGUAUGGGGCUUUGUCACCCGCUCUGUAGGCCCGGCCGGCGCUUGCCGAUCAACCCAAAUUUUUAUCCAGGUUGACCUCGGAUCAGGUAGGGAUACUCGCUGAACUUAAGCAUAUCAAUAAGCGGAGGA